rnacentral:rRNA from 1 species
AUUGAACGCUGGCGGCAUGCCUAACACAUGCAAGUCGAACGAGUGGCGGACGGGUGAGUAAUGUCUGGGAAACUGCCCGAUGGAGGGGGAUAACUACUGGAAACGGUAGCUAAUACCGCAUACCAUCGGAUGUGCCCAGAUGGGAUUAGCUAGUAGGUGGGGUAACGGCUCACCUAGGCGACGAUCCCUAGCUGGUCUGAGAGGAAGACCAGCCAGACUGGAACUGAGACGCGAGCCAAACUCCUACGUGAGGCAGCAGUGGGGAAUAUUGCACAAUGGGCGCAAGCCUGAUGCAGCCAUGCCGCGUGUAAGAAGAAGGCAUUCGGGUUGUAAAGUACUUUCAGCGAGGAGGCGUUACCCGCAGAAGAAGCACCGGCUAACUCCGUGCCAGCAGCCGCGGUAGUAC